UAAUACGGGGAGGGCGAGCGUUAUCCGGAAUCACUGGGUGUAAAGGGUAUGUAGGUUGCAGAAUAAGUCAGAUGUGAAAUCCAUUCGCUUAACGGAUGAACUGCAUUUGAAACUAUCCAGCUAGAGUAUAGAAGAGGAAAGUGGAAUUCCUAGUGUAGCGGUGAAAUGCGUAGAUAUUAGGAAGAACACCAGUGGCGAAGGCGACUUUCUAUUCUAAUACUGACACUGAGGUACGAAGGCUAGGGGAGCAAACAGGAUUAGAUACCCUGGUAGUCCUAGCAGUAAACGAUGGACACUAGGUGUGGGAGGUGUUUAUACCUUUCGUGCCGUAGCUAACGCGUUAAGUGUCCCACCUGGGGAGUACGGUCGCAAGA
rnacentral:rRNA from 1 species